rnacentral:tRNA from 1 species
GCCCUCGUAGUUCAACGGAUAGAACAUAGGUUUUCUAAACCUAGAAUAGAGGUUCGAUUCCUCUCGAGGGCACCA